rnacentral:rRNA from 1 species
GAUGAACGCUGGCGGCGUGCCUAAUACAUGCAAGUCGAGCGAACAGACGAGGAGCUUGCUCCUCUGACGUUAGCGGCGGACGGGUGAGUAACACGUGGAUAACCUACCUAUAAGACUGGGAUAACUUCGGGAAACCGGAGCUAAUACCGGAUAAUAUAUUGAACUGCAUGGUUCAAUAGUGAAAGACGGUUUUGCUGUCACUUAUAGAUGGAUCCGCGCCGCAUUAGCUAGUUGGUAAGGUAACGGCUUACCAAGGCAACGAUGCGUAGCCGACCUGAGAGGGUGAUCGGCCACACUGGAACUGAGACACGGUCCAGACUCCUACGGGAGGCAGCAGUAGGGAAUCUUCCGCAAUGGGCGAAAGCCUGACGGAGCAACGCCGCGUGAGUGAUGAAGGUCUUCGGAUCGUAAAACUCUGUUAUUAGGGAAGAACAAAUGUGUAAGUAACUAUGCACGUCUUGACGGUACCUAAUCAGAAAGCCACGGCUAACUACGUG